CAGUCGCCGCGGUAAUACGUAGGUGGCAAGCGUUGUCCGGAAUUAUUGGGCGUAAAGGGCUCGCAGGCGGUUUCUUAAGUCUGAUGUGAAAGCCCCCGGCUCAACUGGGGAGGGUCAUUGGAAACUGGGAAACUUGAGUGCAGAAGAGGAGAGUGGAAUUCCACGUGUAGCGGUGAAAUGCGUAGAGAUGUGGAGGAACACCAGUGGCGAAGGCGACUCUCUGGUCUGUAACUGACGCUGAGGAGCGAAAGCGUGGGGAGCGAACAGGAUUAGAUACCCCUGUAGUCCCUGUCUCUUAUAC
rnacentral:rRNA from 1 species